rnacentral:rRNA from 1 species
AACCUGGUUGAUCCUGCCAGUAGUCAUAUGCUUGUCUCAAAGAUUAAGCCAUGCAUGUCUAAGUAUAAGCAACUAUACGGUGAAACUGCGAAUGGCUCAUUAAAUCAGUUAUCGUUUAUUUGAUAGUACCUUACUACUUGGAUAACCGUGGUAAUUCUAGAGCUAAUACAUGCUAAAAACCCCAACUUCGGAAGGGGUGUAUUUAUUAGAUAAAAAACCAACGCCCUUCGGGGCUCCUUGGUGAUUCAUAAUAACUAAACGAAUCGCAUGGCCUUGCGCCGGCGAUGGUUCAUUCAAAUUUCUGCCCUAUCAACUUUCGAUGGCAGGAUAGUGGCCUACCAUGGUAUCAACGGGUAACGGGGAAUUAGGGUUCUAUUCCGGAGAAGGAGCAUGAGAAACGGCUACCACAUCCAAGGAAGGCAGCAGGCGCGCAAAUUACCCAAUCCCGACACGGGGAGGUAGUGACAAUAUGUAACAAUAUACGGCUUUAUCGUCGUAUAAUUGGAAUGAGUACAAUUUAAAUCCCUUAACGAGGAACAAUUGGAGGGCAAGUCUGGUGCCAGCAGCCGCGGUAAUUCCAGCUCCAAUAGCGUAUAUUAAAGUUGUUGCAGUUAAAAAGCUCGUAGUUGGACCUUGGGCCUGGACGGGCGGUCCGCCUCACGGCGUGUACUGUCUUGCCGGGCCUUUCCUCUUGGUGAUCUGUUGUUUCGGCAGUAGGGAACCAGGACCUUUACUUUGAAAAAAUUAGAGUGUUCAAAGC